UUUUGGCUUACUCUGAACAGGGGCUUUCAGAGGAAAUGCUUAUCGUGUGAAACAUCUGCUGGAGAUUACAUCUUCUCAGAGAACCCGAUAACAGAAAACUACACGACAGCAUCACGCAUAGAGCUCAACAGUAAUUAUGACAAUCAAGGAUACUACAUAUGCCACUACGACAGCACAAAGAACAAGAAAAAGGAAGAAUCUUCUGUCUAUGUCUUCACUUUGG